GAUGAACGCUGGCGGCGUGCCUAAUACAUGCAAGUCGAGCGAACGGACGAGAAGCUUGCUUUUCUGAUGUUAGUGGCGGACGGGUGAGUAACACGUGGAUAACCUACCUAUAAGACUGGGAUAACUUCGGGAAACCGGAGCUAAUAUCGGAUAAUAUUUUGAACCGCAUGGUUCAAAAGUGAAAGACGGUCUUGCUGUCACUUAUAGAUGGAUCCGCGCUGCAUUAGCUAGUUGGUAAGGUAACGGCUUACCAAGGCAACGAUGCAUAGCCGACCUGAGAGGGUGAUCGGCCACACUGGAACUGAGACACGGUCCAGACUCCUACGGGAGGCAGCAGUAGGGAAUCUUCCGCAAUGGGCGAAAGCCUGACGGAGCAACGCCGCGUGAGUGAUGAAGGUCUUCGGAUCGUAAAACUCUGUUAUUAGGGAAGAACAUAUGUGUAAGUAACUGUGCACAUCUUGACGGUACCUAAUCAGAAAGCCACGGCUAACUACGUG
rnacentral:rRNA from 1 species